rnacentral:rRNA from 1 species
AUGAACGCUGGCGGCGUGCUUAACACAUGCAAGUCGAACGAUUAAAGCUCACUUCGGUGAGUGUAUAGAGUGGCGAACGGGUGAGUAACACGUGGGAAACCUGCCCCUUUCUUCGGGAUAACUUCGGGAAACCGUUGCUAAUACCGGAUACUCCGGGAUGGUCGCAUGGCCGACCCGGGAAAGCUUUAUGUGGAAAGGGAUGGUCCCGCGGCCCAUUAGCUUGUUGGUGGGGUAAUGGCCUACCAAGGCGAUGAUGG